rnacentral:rRNA from 1 species
GAUGAACGCUGGCGGCGUGCCUAAUACAUGCAAGUCGAACGGGGAGUAGCAAUACUCUUAGUGGCGAACGGGUGAGUAACGCGUUGGUACCUGCCCCGAAGCGGGGGAUAACGGACCGAAAGGUCCGCUAAUACCCCAUGUGCUCGGUAAUGAGUAAAGGUGAAAACCACUUUGGGAGGGGCCUGCGUCCCAUCAGCUAGUUGGUAAGGUAACGGCUUACCAAGGCGAUGACGGGUAGGGGACCUGAGAGGGUGGCCCCCCACAAUGGAACUGAAACACGGUCCAUACACCUACGGGUGGCAGCAGUAGGGAAUAUUGGUAAUGGGCGCAAGCCUGAACCAGCAACGCCGCGUGUGCGAUGACGGCCUUCGGGUUGUAAAGCACUUUUGACUGGGACGAGGAAGGACGGUACCGGUCGAAUCAGCCUCGGCUAACUACGU